rnacentral:lncRNA from 1 species
CUUUUUUAAUUUAUUCAGUACUGAGCCACAGUUUUUGUUUGAUUUUGGAGUCUUGACUGGUGUUAGAGAGUAGGUCCUCAUUUUAAAACCUUGAAAUCCUUUGCACAGACAGCUGUUUUAGCUAAUCUAAAUUGAUAGACAAAUGUAAAUUCCUCGUGGGAUCUUGGCAGAGCCUUGACAGGAGUAACUGGAUAAUCAGAUUGCAUGUAGAGAGAACUCUCAGCGCAAGUCUUCACACCAAACUGUUUGCUGUUCCAAGGUCUACCAAGGUGUAUACCCGAUACAAAUGCUACAUUGGUAUUUUGAAGCCAUAUACGCUUCACUGAUGACAUUUCUGAAUUCAUCCGCAUAUACACAAUAUGUUUGAAGAGAAAAGAAGAUUCUUCUUUUGAAAAAAUACAAGUUCUCUGGUUUUGCCACCAGCCAGUCAUGGACAAUAGCAUCUUUGGAGGUUCAUUUAAAAAAAAAAAAAAAAAAAAAAAAAGGAAAAGAAAAGUACGUUUAGCUUUAGAGAGAAGUUGAAUACGAUGAUUCACUGAUCAUAGUGAGUACUGUUGAGUAAUAACAAGAAGAGAACCCUUGAAAGGUGCCUAUGGACUGAGAAGGAGCAGGAGCAGGAAGCAGGAUCAAGGCUUGGAGGCAAGAGUUGUAAAAGAAGCUGUGAAUGGACAGAACAAAGACAACUGACCAAACAGGCCAGAGGGAUGUUCCAUACCAUAUGAUGUCAUGCUCAGCCAUAAAACUAGGUGGAGUUUUCUUGAGGAGCUGCUACUGUUCGUGGACUGGCAUCAGCGAGCAGUAGUCUUGAGAAUCUGGAGAAGUCCUAGCUGACUGGAAGCUGGAAACUGCUGUCCAACUUCAGUUCCCAUUGAAAUUAUGGAGAAGAUUAUUCUGGGAGCUAUUGAAAAACACUCGGAAGACAAUGUACUCAUUUGUUACAGCCAACACGGGUUCACAAGGGAAAGCUGUGUUUAAUGAACAUAAUAUCCUUUUAUGACAAGGUUACCCACCUAGUUGACCAAGGGAAGCCAGUUGAUGAAAGCUUUUUGGAUUUCAAUAAAAUUCUUCCAGUUUUUCAUAGUUCCUCACUAUAAUCUUCUGGACUUCUGGACAAUAUAUCCAUCAUACAGAUAUACAAAAAAAAAAAAAAAA